rnacentral:rRNA from 1 species
CCCGCUGAACUUAAGCAUAUCAAUAAGCGGAGGAAAAGAAACUAACAAGGAUUCCCUCAGUAACGGCGAGUGAAGCGGGAAGAGCUCAAAUUUAAAAUCUGGCUUACUUGUAAGUCCGAGUUGUAGUCUGAAGAAACGUUUUCCAUAAGCACUGAGGCACAAGUCCCUUGGAACAGGGCAUCAUAGAGGGUGAGAAUCCCGUCCAUGGUCUCAAGUUGCUUAUUUUGUGAUACGUUUUCAAAGAGUCAGGUUGUUUGGGAAUGCAGCCUAAAAUGGGUGGUAAAUUUCAUCUAAAGCUAAAUAUUGGCGAGAGACCGAUAGCGAACAAGUACCGUGAGGGAAAGAUGAAAAGAACUUUGGAAAGAGAGUUAAACAGUACGUGAAAUUGCUGAAAGGGAAACGCUUGAAGUCAGUCACGUUGACUCGGAAUCAGCUCUGCUUUUGCUGGGUGUACUUUCUUGUCAAUGGGUCAGCAUCAAUUUUGACCAUUGGAUAAAGUUGCUGGGAAUGUAGCAUCCUUUUGGAUGUGUUAUAGCCUGGUGAUGCAUACAGUGGUUGGGAUUGAGGAAUUCAGCACGCCACCAGGCCGGGUUUCGACCACGUUCGUGCUUAGGAUGCUGGCAUAAUGGCUUUAAUUGACCCGUCUUGAAACACGG